GUGGGGUAAUUUUCGAUGUUGCUCAGGUCAUCCGUUGGUCGGCAGCUUGGGCAGUUGAGCAACUAAACAGCCAGGAUCUAAUUGGGUCCCAGGUAAUUGUGAGAUGGUAACGUGGAAUGAACGCAUUGGAAGAAUGGACCCAACCGCAAAGAUAGGAACCGUAGGAAAAGGUCUGAUGCGAGCAGAGGGAAUCUGGGCGUAAUGUCCCCAACCAUUAAGGCGGAGCAUUCAGUCAAAAACUCUCCUCGUUUCCAUCGACAGCUUUUCCGUAUCGCUCUCUACUUCUCCAUUCCCCUUAUUCUUACUACAUUGUCUGAUUCUCGUUCACGUCAAACGUGGCAUUUUUUUUUUUAAUUUUGCAAUGGCAAUGGAUGUUUCAAUGACCGUGUGCAAAUCUGUCAACUCACCUCCUGGCUUAUUCUUGGGGAGAAGUAGAGGUAUUAGGAGUUCCCAAUGUACCUUUAUGGUGGGAAGCAGGAUCAACUUUCCUAGUCAGAAAGCUCAGUCGACUAAUGUUAGAUGUAAAUCUAGUAAGCGUGGAGGAGCUCUUGGUGCUACAUUUCGUGCUGAGAAAAUUCUGGUGGCAAAUAGAGGAGAAAUUGCUGUUCGUGUAAUCCGAACAGCUCAUGAGAUGGGGAUACCCUGUGUUGCUGUUUACUCAACAAUAGAUAAGGAUGCACUCCAUGUGAAGGUGGCUGAUGAAUCGGUUUGCAUAGGUGAAGCACCAAGCAGUCAAUCGUAUUUAUUGAUUCAGAAUGUCCUAUCUGCCGCAAUUAUCCGUAACUGUACCAUGCUUCAUCCUGGAUAUGGUUUCCUUGCUGAGAAUGCAGUGUUUGUCCAAAUGUGCAGAGAUCAUGGAAUCAACUUUAUUGGGCCUAAUCCUGACAGUAUUCGUAUUAUGGGUGACAAAUCAACUGCCCGAGAAACAAUGAAGAAUACAGGUGUUCCUACUGUUCCUGGAAGUGAUGGAUUGUUACAGAGUACACAGGAAGCAAUCAAGCUUGCCCAUAAGAUUGGCUUUCCUGUGAUGAUCAAGGCCACCGCUGGUGGUGGAGGCCGUGGAAUGCGUCUUGCUAAAGAGCCUGAUGAGUUUGUGAAGUUACUACAGCAAGCCAAAAGUGAAGCUGCAGCUGCAUUUGGGAAUGACGGAGUUUAUUUGGAGAAGUACAUUCAAAAUCCAAGGCACAUUGAGUUCCAGGUUCUUGCAGAUAAAUAUGGUAAUGUUGUUCACUUUGGUGAGCGCGACUGCAGCAUCCAGAGACGUAAUCAAAAACUUCUAGAAGAGGCUCCUUCUCCAGCAUUGACACCAGAAUUGCGGAAGGCCAUGGGUGAUGCAGCAGUGGCUGCAGCAGCAUCUAUUGGUUACAUUGGUGUAGGAACUGUUGAGUUCCUUUUGGAUGAAAGAGGUUCCUUCUACUUCAUGGAAAUGAACACUAGAAUCCAGGUGGAGCAUCCUGUAACUGAAAUGAUUUCCUCUGUUGACUUGAUUGAAGAACAAAUUCGUGUAGCUAUGGGAGAAAAACUUCGCUACAAACAGGAAGAUAUUGUGCUCAGAGGGCAUUCAAUUGAAUGUCGUAUCAAUGCAGAAGAUGCAUUUAAAGGGUUCAGACCUGGACCAGGGAGAAUAACAUCGUACUUGCCAUCUGGAGGCCCAUUUGUUCGAAUGGAUAGCCAUGUUUAUUCUGAUUAUGUAGUUCCUCCAAGCUAUGAUUCAUUACUUGGAAAGCUUAUCGUAUGGGCUCCAACAAGGGAAAAAGCAAUUGAGCGCAUGAAAAGGGCUCUUGAUGACACUGUAAUUACAGGGGUUCCUACAACUAUUGAAUACCAUAAACUCAUCCUUGAUAUUGAGGACUUCAGAAAUGGAAAGGUUGACACUGCUUUCAUUUCAAAACAUGAAGAAGAGUUGGCAGCGGUACGAGGAUAAUACUUCAACGAAAGUACUAAAUUGGGCUUCAUUUUUGGCCUCUUUUGCUACUGGCACUGCUUUUAUCUAUUUCUGCUUCAGUAAAAGUGGUUGCAAACUGCAAAUCGUUAUUUUGUGGAAAAUUAACAAAGAGCUGAAACUCAGGCAUAGAGCCACAGAAAAUGGUAGUAUCAACCCCUGCCAAAGAACUGAAUAAUGCAACUGCUUAGAUGGGUUUGUAUCCUUCUGUUUUAUGGUACAAGCCAUGGAGCUGUCAACUUGUGAUUCCUUCAACCGGCCUUUUUCCUUUGGAUGUAAUGCAUGGAACCUUUGUAAGGUGCAUAUGAACAUUUAUAUUAAAUUUUGAUAAUCAUCAUAUCAGGGUUUCUUUCAUUCAGUAGUGGAAAUGUUUGCAGAGUCUUGUUAGAAAUGACUAGUUGGAAUAUUUUUUUUUUCCUAGUGGGAAGCCAUUCAUUUCAUUGAUGAUUUUAAGGUAAUUUUUCGAAAAAAAAAAGAAAAGGAAUUAAGGGUAAAUUGCCUUUGAUCAUUUGAUUUUAUAUGUAAUUCAAGUCUCCCUUUCUCAAAAAGAAAAAAAAAAAAAGAAUUAACGGUAAAUUACGAUUUGGGUACAUUAAUAUUAGUUAUCCAUAAGAUUUGAUAGUUUUAACAAACUUGUGGGAAUUAACCUAAAUUCAAAUGCGGUUGGAACAAGGUAGUUAUGUGUGCGAUCCAUCAACACUUUGCCAUUAAUUACCAGGUAAAAGGCAUCAAUAGUA